UUCGGCGGCCAUAGCGAGAGGGAAACGCCCGGUCCCAUUCCGAACCCGGAAGCUAAGACUCUCAGCGCCGAUGGUACUGCAAGGGGGACCUUGUGGGAGAGUAGGACACCGCCGGACUCCUUUUGAUAGAAGAGCCCCUCCACUGGAGGGGCUCUUCUUGUUUAAC
rnacentral:rRNA from 1 species